rnacentral:other from 1 species
GACUCCCUGCUUUGUGCGUGAUGGUUUCGGAGUGUCGCUUGAGCCGAUGUUCUACUCCCAAGUGAGCCGCGACAUCGCGUGGUGUGCAUGCCUCCGUGGUGAGGAAGCCUGAAGCGCGAUUUACAGAGUGGCUCCACCUGCACUAGCAGGUUCAUGCGACCUCCCCACACGGCAAAGCGGGGACCUU